ACGACCUUACUUGAACAGGAUCUGUUCUAUAGGCUCGUACCUCCUUAUCCUUUAGCACAAAGGAGAUAGGAUCACAAGUCUAGUUGAUGAAUUACGACCUUGUGAUCAGAGCGUGAUUAACAGCUUCCCUUGGUCCCUCGAGUCCAGCGGAAGCAGUAGAGGAUCGUUCUCAGCUUGAUGUUCAUCUGGCUGGAAUGGUCACAAGGUUGUCUGACAGACC
rnacentral:snoRNA from 1 species